rnacentral:rRNA from 1 species
AACGCGAAGAACCUUACCUACCCUUGACAUGUCUGGAAUCCUGAAGAGAUUUGGGAGUGCUCGAAAGAGAGCCAGAACACAGGUGCUGCAUGGCCGUCGUCAGCUCGUGUCGUGAGAUGUUGGGUUAAGUCCCGCAACGAGCGCAACCCUUGUCAUUAGUUGCUACGAAAGGGCACUCUAAUGAGACUGCCGGUGACAAACCGGAGGAAGGUGGGGAUGACGUCAGGUCAUCAUGGCCCUUAUGGGUAGGGCUACACACGUCAUACAAUGGCCGGGACAGAGGGCUGCCAACCCGCGAGGGGGAGCUAAUCCCAGAAACCCGGUCGUAGUCCGGAUCGUAGUCUGCAACUCGACAGCGUGAAGUCGGAAUCGCUAGUAAUCGCGGAUCAGCUUGCCGCGGUGAAUACGUUCCCGGGUCUUGUACACACCG